UCUAGCAAGACCAGAACUAAGAGGUCUGCCUGUUUUGUCUCCUGAGCACAGGGGCCUGAGUCUCUUCUUAAAUUCUUUAAUUAGUGGGACUAAAACUCAAGAGGAAACCCCAAUUUGCCCAGUAACAUGUGACACUCCAGGUUGGGCUCCCCAAAAUUUCCUAGUAACAAUAAUAGGUAGCGCCUAGCUUCUAAACUAAUAAGCCUGUUCUAGGGGUGUCAAGAACACCUUGGAAUUCGGACUUGACUUAAGUCAAUGCCCAGAAACUAAUUUACGAUCACUACAGUCUGUCUGUUUCCAGACAGGAUCAGCAGAAAGCUGUCUUCAGCACUUAAUGAAGCGAGCACCUUCACACCUGCAGCCAGACUGACUCCACUCCAAGUACAGCCUCUGGCAGAAACACAGCGGUAAGAAGUGGCAAGGAAGGACAGAAGGAGCAAACGGCUAGAAUCUCUCACCCUGCUCCCCACAGUGAGCAAGAAAAGGAAGAAAGGAGAGAAUAAAGGAAGCAAGUUACAUGGGGAUUUUGGCCUCGAACCUGCUGAGUCUCCAUCUUCACUUCUGGAUUCUGCUGCAGUUAAAUCUCCCGCCCUCACCCUCGGCUCGGACGUCCCGUCGUGCUCCCCAAAGGAACUAGUUCAAAGUGCGGUCAUCACUCAGCUACUCAAGUAAUUUCAUCAACUCUGUGAACUCAAAGAUGCAAUGUACUCUCAAGGAAUCGGCAUCAUUAUACAGAAAAUAAGGGAACUAUAAAAGAAACCAUGUCAAUACAGGUCCAGAUAAUGAAUGUAAGGUGCUUAAUUUACCUAACAAAAUAAGCCUUAAGAGCCGGGCGGUGGUGGUACACGCCUUUAAUCCCAGCAGAGGCAGGCGGAUCUCUGUGAGUUCAAGGCCAGCCUGGUCUACAAGCGCUAGUUCCAGGACAGGAACCAAAAGCUACGGAGAAACCAUGUCUCGAAAAAUAAAAAAAAAAGCAUUAAGUACUUAAAUAAUGAGUAUUCAAUAAAUGGUUAAGCAGCGUUCUUAGUAGCAUUUGAGACAAUCUCAGUGAAUGUACAAUAUUGUGCUUGGUGAGGAUGGGACGCCAUGCUGACUGGAAGGAACAGCUUACAUAAAAAUACAAAGAACUGGGGCUGGAGAGAUGUCUCAGCAGUUAAGAGCGCUG